rnacentral:rRNA from 1 species
GGAAGUAAAAGUCGUAACAAGGUCUCCGUCGGUGAACCAGCGGAGGGAUCAUUACUGAGUUUACGCUCUACAACCCUUUGUGAACAUACCUACAACUGUUGCUUCGGCGGGUAGGGUCUCCGCGACCCUCCCGGCCUCCCGCCUCCGGGCGGGUCGGCGCCCGCCGGAGGAUAACCAAACUCUGAUUUAACGACGUUUCUUCUGAGUGGUACAAGCAAAUAAUCAAAACUUUUAACAACGGAUCUCUUGGUUCUGGCAUCGAUGAAGAACGCAGCGAAAUGCGAUAAGUAAUGUGAAUUGCAGAAUUCAGUGAAUCAUCGAAUCUUUGAACGCACAUUGCGCCCGCCAGCAUUCUGGCGGGCAUGCCUGUUCGAGCGUCAUUUCAACCCUCAAGCUCUGCUUGGUGUUGGGGCCCUACAGCCGAUGUAGGCCCUCAAAGGUAGUGGCGGACCCUCCCGGAGCCUCCUUUGCGUAGUAACUUUACGUCUCGCACUGGGAUCCGGAGGGACUCUUGCCGUAAAACCCCCCAAUUUUCCAAAGGUUGACCUCGGAUCAGGUAGGAAUACCCGCUGAACUUAAGCAUAUCAAUAAGCGGAGGA